GGAACAGGACAGCGACCCUCAGUAGAGGCAGGACCGCCAACACCAACCCCGCCCCUCAGCGCCUGGAAACCGUUGAUCUGCCGGAGUGGGACUGACACUGACGGAACCCGAUGGGUUCUCCUCGGAGCGACGGUCCAAGGCACCAGUAAACGACGGUCCUGUGGUUUUGUAGAUUUGCAAUGCCACCUCAGAAGGCUGAGAUGCGGUGAUUGCCAUGGCAACAGGGCUGCCUUAAAAGCAUUUGUUCUCACAGAGUGGAGGGCUGGUGCCCAGCAGGACUCAAUCUGGCCUCCCUGCACGCCUUCCCUAAUUAAGAUGCACCUUUUGGUUUGGACUCUUCAAAUCAUUCUCCCUUGAUAAACGACCACAAAGAAGGAGAAUGAAGGCCACGGAGCUUCGUGCCCCAUCUGUCAAGAGCUGGGCCCGCCAGGGUGGUUGGAGCAUCGGAGGAGACAGGGAGAUGAGGACACUGAGGCCCACGGUGACCCGCCCAUGUCACACACCCAUCAACGGGAGGGAGCGGCCGCCUCGCUGGAACAGAAGAGCCCUGCUGUCUCCUUCAGGGCACACCGGCUCAUUAGAUUUACCAGCCCCCGCCUGGAAAAGUAUUUAAUUUGUCUUUUACAAUGCACCAAUUGCAAGUUAAUUAACUGGCAAUUGAAAGUUAUAGGUGACAUUAGAAUUUAUUAAUAACAUUGGAAAUAAAUCUCCCUGGAAUUCAAGUAAUUGAAAA